rnacentral:rRNA from 1 species
GGUUCGGUUUGUGUAGGAUAGGUGGGAGACUGUGAAGUGGUCACGCUAGUGGUUGUGGAGUCGAAAGUUGAAAUACCACUCUGAUCGGAUUGAGCACCUUAACCUUGGCCCAUGAUCUGGGUUGGGGACAGUGCCUGGUGGGUAGUUUAACUGGGGCGGUUGCUCCUAAAGUGUAACGGAGGCGCCCAAAGGUUCCCUCAGCCUGGUUGGCAAUCAGGUGGUGAGUGUAAGUGCACAAGGGAGCUUGACUGUGAGACUGAC